rnacentral:rRNA from 1 species
GAUGAACGCUGGCGGCGUGCCUAAUACAUGCAAGUCGAGCGAACGGACGAGAAGCUUGCUUCUCUGAUGUUAGCGGCGGACGGGUGAGUAACACGUGGAUAACCUACCUAUAAGACUGGGAUAACUUCGGGAAACCGGAGCUAAUACCGGAUAAUAUUUUGAACCGCAUGGUUCAAAAGUGAAAGACGGUCUUGCUGUCACUUAUAGAUGGAUCCGCGCUGCAUUAGCUAGUUGGUAAGGUAACGGCUUACCAAGGCAACGAUGCAUAGCCGACCUGAGAGGGUGAUCGGCCACACUGGAACUGAGACACGGUCCAGACUCCUACGGGAGGCAGCAGUAGGGAAUCUUCCGCAAUGGGCGAAAGCCUGACGGAGCAACGCCGCGUGAGUGAUGAAGGUCUUCGGAUCGUAAAACUCUGUUAUUAGGGAAGAACAUAUGUGUAAGUAACUGUGCACAUCUUGACGGUACCUAAUCAGAAAGCCACGGCUAACUACGUGCCAGCAGCCGCGGUAAUACGUAGGUGGCAAGCGUUAUCCGGAAUUAUUGGGCGUAAAGCACGCGUAGGCGGUUUUUUAAGUCUGAUGUGAAAGCCCACGGCUCAACCGUGGAGGGUCAUUGGAAACUGGAAAACUUGAGUGCAGAAGAGGAAAGUGGAAUUCCAUGUGUAGCGGUGAAAUGCGCAGAGAUAUGGAGGAACACCAGUGGCGAAGGCGACUUUCUGGUCUGUAACUGACGCUGAUGUGCGAAAGCGUGGGGAUCAAACAGGAUUAGAUACCCUGGUAGUCCACGCCGUAAACGAUGAGUGCUAAGUGUUAGGGGGUUUCCGCCCCUUAGUGCUGCAGCUAACGCAUUAAGCACUCCGCCUGGGGAGUACGACCGCAAGGUUGAAACUCAAAGGAAUUGACGGGGACCCGCACAAGCGGUGGAGCAUGUGGUUUAAUUCGAAGCAACGCGAAGAACCUUACCAAAUCUUGACAUCCUUUGACAACUCUAGAGAUAGAGCUUUCCCCUUCGGGGGACAAAGUGACAGGUGGUGCAUGGUUGUCGUCAGCUCGUGUCGUGAGAUGUUGGGUUAAGUCCCGCAACGAGCGCAACCCUUAAGCUUAGUUGCCAUCAUUAAGUUGGGCACUCUAAGUUGACUGCCGGUGACAAACCGGAGGAAGGUGGGGAUGACGUCAAAUCAUCAUGCCCCUUAUGAUUUGGGCUACACACGUGCUACAAUGGACAAUACAAAGGGCAGCGAAACCGCGAGGUCAAGCAAAUCCCAUAAAGUUGUUCUCAGUUCGGAUUGUAGUCUGCAACUCGACUACAUGAAGCUGGAAUCGCUAGUAAUCGUAGAUCAGCAUGCUACGGUGAAUACGUUCCCGGGUCU